rnacentral:rRNA from 1 species
GACGAACGCUGGCGGCGUGCUUAACACAUGCAAGUCGAACGGAAAGGCCCUGCUUGCAGGGUGCUCGAGUGGCGAACGGGUGAGUAACACGUGGGUGAUCUGCCCCUUACUUUGGGAUAAGCCUGGGAAACUGGGUCUAAUACUGGAUAGGACCAUGCUGUGGGUGGUGUGGUGGAAAGAUUAGUUUCGGUAAGGGAUGAGCUCGCGGCCUAUCAGCUUGUUGGUGGGGUAAUGGCCUACCAAGGCGUCGACGGGUAGCCGGCCUGAGAGGGUGGACGGCCACAUUGGGACUGAGAUACGGCCCAGACUCCUACGGGAGGCAGCAGUGGGGAAUAUUGCACAAUGGGCGCAAGCCUGAUGCAGCGACGCCGCGUGGGGGAUGACGGCCUUCGGGUUGUAAACUCCUUUCAGCCAUGACGAAGCCUUCGGGUGACGGUAGUGGUAGAAGAAGCACCGGCUAACUACGUG